UAUGGUGUUUAGCGCUAUGGCCUUCAGCGG
rnacentral:piRNA from 1 species